UUAUCCUCCACUAAUAUUUUCUUUUCCCUACCACUAAUCUUUUUCCCUACCACCACUAAUAUUUUCUUUUCCCUACCACUAAUCUUUUUCCCUACCACUACUCCUACCUCUCCACCACACUACUCCUUUUCCCCCACCACUACAUUCUUUCUCCCACUCUCACAACUUUUCUCCCACCAUUAUCACACUCCAUAGAAGCCUUUGAAGCCCCAAGAGAAGUAGCAAAGCAAGGGAGAGUGUGGGAAAACUAUAGAGUGAAGGUUGUGCUUCGAGGGUCCGGGCGACAGAAAGUGAAGCCGAAGAAGAAACGACUCCAUGCCAGCUUUAAGAACAAUUGAGGUUGAGCAGGCGAUGGAAUGGAUCGGUGUUGAGCGGAUUUCCCUUUUGAUGUUUAUGUAAUGAAACCUUGAGUAUGCAUCUCCAUAUGCAUAACUCACACGUUUUUUCGCUGCAAACACUCUGACUUAUUUAUCAUUUCUACUUGAACUUAUUACUACUUCAUUUUAAUUAACUUUCAGUUGGGGUCUAGUCGUUAUGGCAGACUCAUUUGUGAAUUACCCAAGUGGUUAUAUAUAUAUACCACUAGUUUGUUAUUAA